CCUACGGGAGGCAGCAGUAGGGCAUUUUCGGCAAUGGGGGGAACCCUGACCGAGCAACGCCGCGUGAACGAAGAAGUUAUUCGUAAUGUAAAGUUCUUUUCACAGGGAAGAAAGAGAAAUUUGACGGUACAUGAACAAUAAGCUCCGGCUAACUACGUGCCAGCAGCCGCGGUAAUACGUAGGGGGCGAGCGUUAUCAGAAGUUAUUGGGCGUAAAGGGUGCGUAGAUGGCAUAGAAAGUCGUAUGUAAAAAUUCUGGGCUCAACCCAGUAGGGCAAAAGAGACUGUAAAGCUAGAGUAUGACAGAGGCAAGUGGAACUACGUGUGUAGCGGUAAAAUGCGUAAAUAUAUGUAAGAACACCAGUGGCGAAGGCGGCUUGCUGGGUCGAUACUGACAUUGAGGCACGAAAGCGUGGGGAGCAAACAGGAUUAGAUACCCGAGUAGUC
rnacentral:rRNA from 1 species